ACAUGCCUUAGCCUGCACCAAGCCCGACCCAAACAAAACUAUUCUCUUGUACCACAAUCACACUUAGCAUACUCAAGAUAUAUCGCUCACUACACUAUGACACUGUCCCACAACAUGUGCUAUUCUGAGCUAUACACUAUUUCACUCUAUUACAACUACAAAUAUGCAACGUCUGCUUUUUUUUUCUAUGUUAUUAUCUCCGAGUUGAUUAUUAAGCA